rnacentral:rRNA from 1 species
CAAUAGCGUAUAUUAAAGUUGUUGCGGUUAAAAGCUCGUAGUUGGAUUUCUGCCGAGGACGACCGGUCCGCCCUCUGGGUGAGUAUCUGGUUCGACCUGAGCAUCUUCUUGGGAAUCGUGUCUGCACUUGACUGUGUGGCACGGGUUCCAGGACUUUUACUUUGAGGAAAUUAGAGUGUUUCAAGCAGGCGUCCGCCUUGAAUACGUUAGCAUGGAAUAAUGCGACAGGACCUCGGUCCAUUUUGUUGGUUUCUUGGGUUGAGGUAAUGAUUAACAGGGAUGGUUGGGGGCGAUUCGUAUUUAACUGUCAGAGGUGAAAUUCUUGGAUUUGUUAAAGACGAACUACUGCGAAAGCAUUUGCCAAGGAUGUUUUCAUUGAUCAAGAACGAAAGUUAGGGGAUCGAAGACGAUCAGAUACCAU